rnacentral:rRNA from 1 species
GGAGGAACUCUGAUGCAGCAACGCCGCGUGGAGGAUGACACUUUUCGGAGCGUAAACUCCUUUUAUAUAGGAAGAUAAUGACGGUACUAUAUGAAUAAGCACCGGCUAACUCCGUGCCAGCAGCCGCGGUAAUACGGAGGGUGCAAGCGUUACUCGGAAUCACUGGGCGUAAAGAGCGUGUAGGCGGGUUAAUAAGUUGGAAGUGAAAUCCUAUGGCUCAACCAUAGAACUGCUUUCAAAACUGUUAACCUAGAAUAUGGGAGAGGUAGAUGGAAUUUCUGGUGUAGGGGUAAAAUCCGUAGAGAUCAGAAGGAAUACCGAUUGCGAAGGCAGA